UGGGGUUAGCCAGAUGGGGGCUGAGGGAUGUGACGAAGCGGGACUGUUCUUAAUGUUUCCUCUAAAUAUUGUGGGGGUGCCUCAGUUUCCCCUAUGCAGUUCUUAAGUAUCUAGGUGGUGGGGUAAGGGUGUAUGAUCAUUGCAGAGCCCUAGAGGGCAGGUGUGUGCAGGAGUCUGGACACAGAGAAUGGCCGACACCCUGUUUCCUGGCAACUGAUGGCCUGGGCCCUUCCCCCCUGCAAGGUGAGAGCUAAAGGGUUGGAGAACAAAGGAAUCAGGUGCCCUCCUGGCCCGGGAAAGGGACAAAGCCCAGAGGGGGAGGGGCUGGAGGGAGUUUCAGUUUGGGGCUGGCUGGGACAUGGAGUGAAGUGCAGAUGGAGUUGUCUGGCUCACUGCCCCCCAAAAUGGACCCAGCUGAGGGGUCCUGUUCUCUGCACCUGCAAGCUCUGUGUUAGACCAUGUUCCUGUCGUCUAAUAAACCUCUGUUUUACUGGC